rnacentral:lncRNA from 1 species
GUUAAAGGUCAGAAAAAUAACUUGGUCUUGAAACAGGAUUCUCGGGAUGGAGGAUGGCCGGCCGCGAUUGCAGAGGGUAUGACCGUGGGGGAUGAGUGGUUGGCCGCAGUCGUGUUGUGCUGGCCAUGGAGAUUGGAGGUCUGGCCGCGGUUGCAAAGCUUCGAGUCAGCUUCAUUUUUUUGGGGGGCAAACGAAAUAUCUUGAGAUCUAACCAUUGGAAUGUCUCCAAACCAAUCACAUUUGAACUCUGGUUGUGUAUUUUAUUAAACUUCCAAAUUUGGGGAUGAUCAGACGGUGAAAACAAUUUUGUCUCUCCUAGAGAGUUCUGACAGUCUGAAUUUAUCCAAAAAAUACUAUUUUGG